rnacentral:rRNA from 1 species
GGGGUAAAAGCCCACCGCGGCGACAGAUCUAUAGCUGGUCUGAGAGGACGAUCAGCCUCACUGGGACUGAGACACGGCCCAAACUCCUACGGGAGGCAGCAGUGGGGAAUUUUGGACAAUGGGGGCCACCCUGAUCCAUCAAUGCCGCGUGAGUGAAGAAGGCCUUCGGGUUGUAAAGCUCUUUUGUCAGGGAAGAAACACCGGCUCUAACACAGUCCGGGAAUGACGGGACCUGAAGAAUAAGCACCGGCUAACUACGUGCCCGCGGCCGCGGUAAUACGUAGGGUGCAAGCGUUAAUCGGAAUUACUGGGCGUAAAGCGUGCGCAGGCGGUUAUACAAGACAGGCGUGAAAUCCCCGGGCUUAACCUGGGAAUGGCGCCUGUGACUGUAUAGCUAGAGUGUGUCAAAGGGGGGUUAGAAUUCCACGUGUAUCAGAUGAAAUGCGUAGAUAUGUGGAGGAAUACCAAUGG